rnacentral:lncRNA from 1 species
GAAUCAUAAAUACAGUUUGAAUCAAUAGCCUGUGUGUGAGAGUUUGUGUGUCUUCCCUCACACACAUCUAUUCAAAUAACUGCUUUCCCAUAUUCAAAUCCUUGCUUUCCAGCGUGGAAUAUUAGCGUAAAGCAAUGGAUCUUGGAUAUAAAUCUGCUUUUCCAAGACUUCUCUCUGCAUAGAGGAUUCCCUCCUCUCACUGAUACUGCUUUUAUGUAGCUACAAGUGCGUUGGCAUUCAGGACAGGAAAAGAGCCCUUAUAAAAAAGCACUUUUGUGCAAACUUUGUGGGCUUUAAGCACCAACCUAAAAUUAAGCAGACGCUUAAGCCCAAUCACGUGUAGGCAAUGCAGCCACAUCUCAGUGUCCUUCAAUCUCUGCAGGCAAGGCCACGUUAAUUCCUUGCAUCACCACGGACUCCAAGAGGAGUUUGGCAGCGUAACGAUUCGGUAGGAUCCUUAGGGCUCGAGGCUGAAUGUAUUUGCAUCCAGAUGCAUUGUGUUCUGAAUGCCGUUGUUCCAAUAUUUACCCAAGAUAAACUUGGCCCACGUUACAUCAUCCAUCCUUUGGGUAUACUGCAGAAAUCACUCCAGCUCUCUUCAGCACCCUGGGCAGCACGUGGACUUCUAAUUGUAGUGCGUUUCACGGGCUUGCCUCUGUGCUGGGGAGAAAGCAGGUCAUGUGGAAAGAAGGCGGCCAAGUGCAGAGACCCAAAGAGAGAAAUGAUCACGGGGAAAAUUACGGGUUGUUUCCUCACUGUUCACCUGCCUUGAGUGGUUCACUUAAUUAACAAUGCAAGUGUGAGCUGACAGAUUUGGCAGGGAACAAUAAUGCAGUGGGAGGUGAUGGAAAGUAGUCUUGCUGGGAAAGUUGUUCCUGAUUUAUAAAUACACCUGAUUAUUACAGAGUCGCCCGUUAAUGACUCUGUAGUUUAUAGCAACAUUCCCUGUUCCCAACCCUUGUUUUCAUGGUGUUAUGCAAAGGUGGCAGAAUUUGUCUCUGGGAGCUGAAAUUCAUCUUGCAGAACAGCUUUGUUUUCAUCCAUUGAGCAUUUAAAAAACAAAACAGAAAAAAACCUGCCUGGUUUCCUGUGUGCACGGGAGUCAGCUAAAGGUAGAGUUUGGCCUGCAAACAUAGGAAAUGUCUCAGUUUUAUUCUUGGAACAGAAGAUGGGUCCCGGGAGGCACCAGGCUCAGUUUUGUUGUGUCCUUGGCUCUUAAAGCCAGCACAGCGUCCAGCUGAAAAGAGGCCUGGUUCUGGUCUCCUUAGUCUGACGAAGAUCAGGUGCUGCUCCACCAAGUCAGGAAAUUACACUGGUGGAAUAAAACCAGCAGGAAAUCAGAUGAGAAACCA